UAGAGCAAGAAACUCUUCAUCUCCUGGGUUAAUCUGUGCUUGAAGAAACAUAUGCCAGACCACACCUGGUUCAAGCACAAAAGUGCCCAAUAUUAGGCAAGAAACUCUUCAUCUGCUGGGUUAAUCUGUGCUUGAAGAAACAUAUGCCAGACCACACCUGGUUCAAGCACAAAAGUGCCCAAUAUUAGCCAAGAAACAUUAGGUUUUUAGGAAAACUGCCUAAAAACUCAAGUAUACAGUUUUCCUGCUUAUGCUUUUCAAGAAAUAGGCAGCUGCAUGUCCCUAGCCAUGCCUCUGCUCCUGCAUGUGCAAAAACAAAUUAUCCUAAUAUUACCUCACGGGGUUAUUGUGAGGAUUAAGUGAGUUAACACAUAUAAAGCACAUCAACAGUGCCAGGCACAUAGUAGUAGUUGCUUAAUAAGUUAUUUAGUAGUAGGUGCUCAAUACAUGAUGGAAUGGAUAUGUGUAAGUCAUCGUGAGAAGUGGGAGCCUGCUUAAUCACACAGGAGUCAUUCUUGGUGUUGGCCACCCCAUCCUACCUCCUAGAUUCAUAGUGGACAGUAUCAAUGACUAUAUCAACAAAUACUGAGUUUAAUUCACUGUCCACACUGGAAGAUGCAGCACACCUCUAUUCAGCUCUUCUCACGACUUUUGGAGCAGUCAGGAUUUGGUCUAGUUACAGCUUUUUGCUAAUGCCGCUGGCUUUAAAGUGGGGGCCAGAAAAGUAGUUCAUUGGCCAGGCAUGGUGGCUUAUGCCUGUUAUCCCAGCACUCUGGGAGGCUGAGGUGGGAGGAUCACUUAAGCCCAGGAGUUGCCUUGGCAACGUUGUGAGACCCCAUCUCUACAAAAAUUAAAAAAGUUAACUGGGCAUGGUGGCAUAUGCCUGUGAUCCCAGCUACUCAGGAGGCUGAACUAGGAGGAUGGCUUGAGCCCGGGAAGUUAAGGCUGCAGUGAGCUGUGAAUGCACCACCGCACUCCAGCGUGGGUGACAAAGUGAGAUUCUGUCUCUAAAAAAAAAAGGAAAGGAAAGAAAGAAAAAGAAAAGUAGUUCACUUACACAGUCUAGUCCUCUAAGAGAAUUAUCUGUGCUGAGGCAGAGCAAGGUGCUCAGGGUGGUGGGGGGUGGGUGUUCCCACAGGCCAGUGCUUUUCAUUUCUCCUCUGCAGUAUCCCUCUCCAAGUCACAGUUAGACUGACUCCAAGGCUCUGAGUGUAGGAGUCCAGGAGGAGACAGCUUUCCCCCUCUAACUCCCUCACUCUCCCCAGCCCUGCAGAGAAGCCAGGGGCGUUUAUUUCACUUCUUAUCUGAAGGAUCAGCCAGGCUUGUUAUGGGACACAGUUGCCUCACAAUCUGCUCACUCCUCUGUAACCAGUGAAUCAUAUUUAUAGCCAUUUCUCUCUUCAUAACAAGGGGACUCUCCAUUACUGGGAUUGAGUUUCCUGGCGGGACCUAUCAUUGGACUUCUCAUUUCCAUGGGCCUCUGAUUUUUCUGGAUCCAUAUUUCUUCAAUGAAAGCACCACAGUUUUAUUACAACAAUUUUUUAAUUUUGUGACAUCAUUUAGAUGAUAAUCUUAAAAAAUAAUGACAAUGAAGUAUGGGUGUCUGCUGGAACAUCUAGAUGAGCACCGUAGGACUUGGUCCAACCAUGGGACAUGGGACCCGAAUCUGGGCUUCCAUUCGUGUUUAAGAUUAGGGGGUGCCAAUCAGGCAACUUUAAUUACUGCAGGCUAAAGAAAACACACAGAGAUUGUGCUUGUGCCUAGAAAAGAUGAAAUAGCUGCACAACAAGCUAGACAGACAAAGCUACCAUGGUAGUUUAAUUAAACUGGGGUAGAACUAUCCCAUGGCACACAGUCGACUGAAGAGAGGAACUGAUACCAUGUUAGCUUUGUAGGUGGCAUAUGUCACUACGACAGAGUCAUAUUAUCCAUCAUAUUAAAUGCUGGUUAAUUUGAAUUUUGUUGAUUUAUAGAAUUUUUUCAUUUUAAAUUUUGUUUGGCUUUGUAGUUAUCCAAGAGCAGUACAUAGAAAGAGUUUAUUCUAAUGGUCUAAGUUUUUGUAAAUUACUAAUUUAUUAAUAUGAAAUUAAUUGUUUUAAUAAUUAAUUAAAAUAAUUAAAUUACUAAUUAAAUUAUUAAUAUGAAUAAUAAUUGAAUGUAACACUGAGAGCC
rnacentral:lncRNA from 10 species